GAAAAAACAUAAUCGGUCGACCUCUAGUACUGACUCACCCUCUUCCUGUUUGCAGCUUCCAAAAAACGAACUGCUCGUAAAUUACGUUUCUGGCGGGUUUGAAGUAAUUCUCCAAUGCAUCCAAUAUAGCCUUUGUAUCACACUGUUGUCGUGCUGUGAGGGUGAGAUUGUGCCGGUAGAUGUGCAGGUAGAUAUGCCUGCAUUCGCUGCCCAUUAAACUCCUCAGAGUUGCCGCUUGUACCUCGUUGGGUUUCUCAUGUAGACCGGUCGCCAGUGCAUAGUCCUCGAAUUCAUCCCUGAAGUUGUCCCAAUUAGUAUUCUAGUCCCCUGUGAGCACCAUGGGAUUUGGUGGCGGACUGUUUUCUGCCAUAGCGAAGGAAUAGGAGAUUUCUUUGCCUUCAGUCAUCGAGGUAGGUCGUGAUGCUAGCUAGCCAGUUAACAACAAGUUGAUCAGUGUUGUGACUAGGAGUAGGAAACGGCGUGUGUUCACAUAUGGAACGUAACUGCGCCUAUACAAAAAUAACAAACGUGUGGUUUUCGAGCCACUUCUAAUACCCUGUUUCAUUAUGAUAUGUUGAAUAAAGACAGACACCAAUGUCAAGUUCAAUAGCCUUGUUCAUGCAUUAUACAAAUCCCUACACGUGGAGUCCGGGGAACAGUCCGGCUAGUCGAUUACCUAUCAACUAGACUCCGUAACAGCCCCCUCCCGCCUCUGCUGUUGAAAGAUUGGCUGAACAGCUGUUGGGCUCGGCCUCUGCUGCUCUCUGCUUUAUAAAGCUGGAUACACCAGGCUCCGUCAAACAGAGCUAGAGAGAAGCUCCUGCUUGUUUAAUACACUGGUUCAGCGAAACUUUACUUUGAGAACUUCUGUCAACUGGUUCAGAGAAACUACUCCGCCAUCUGUUAGACUAGUCUAGACCCUCCGCAGCAGUAUGACUACCUUCGUCUCGCAAAAUGAAGUUCUGAACUGGUUCAAUCAAAAAAGAUGGCUACCUGCCACACCUAUAACAACACGUCCAGGCACAACGCUGUCAACAGGGACUUCAUGGCCGCUCUCUCCAAGAACCACGGGAGCACAGGAAAACGCAACAGUCCCCAGUCCACCAACAGAACCAAUGCCAUAGGCAUGCCAAAGUCUGCCCCCAAUGACAAGACACCCUGCAGUAUGCCAAGGUCGAUAUCCUCUGAGACCACCAGUUCCUCCUUGGCCUCCAAGCCCGCCAGUGUGAAGAAGUCUGCCUUGUCCCACCUCAAGAGGUUCCUCAUGCUGGAAGACAACCAGAAGACCAAGACCAAGGGGAGGACUCCGACUUACACUCCUCCUUCUGAAGACUGACAAACACUUGGCUCCACUGCAAUGACCAACAGUCAGCCAUUACACCACCAUGAUAUGACACUGACGCACCAGGCUCUCUCUGGCCUGCUUGCAAUUCAGAAUUGUCCUCUUGGAAUUCAGAACAACGGGGGAUGGGUCAGCAGUCAGUCAAUAAGUGAUACAGGGCCUCCUGUUGCACUAACUUUAAAAAAUAUAUAUUUUUUUUUACUUCCCAUGCCCCCCCCUCCCCCCAACUACCCCUGAGGUCCCCCUUCUGUAGAGCUGUUCAAACAUUAAUUGUCCCACACCACGGCAUCAUUCAGGAAUUCCAUUGUCCCUAUGAAUGGCGGGAACGGCAUCGGAAGCAAAGCUCCCCCUUUUCUUCCAUGUUAUUUAUGACGAGGCAAGCAGAAUAACUCAUUUCAAGUUAUAGGAUGUUUUGAUUGAGAGGAUGAUUUUAUUUAUUUGUUACAAUCACAUUUAUAUGAUAAAUGACAUACACAUUUAUAUUCAUGCUUAAGUUUCAUGCUUCUUGAAGUAUGUUUUUACUUGGUUGUCAUUUAUUUUCGUAGACUUAACUUUAUCUCACUCUUCUCUUGUGAGGUUACCAGCCAAGUAGAGCUGCUCUGUAGCUGUUUACAGGUUUGUUUGUGUGGCUCUACUAUUUUAUGAUCACUGCCAAAUGUUUUACUUUUAUGUAAAGGUCAAAUUUUUAUGUACUGGUGGUUUUGAGAUCAUAUUUGGCUGAAUGGGACGCAUCAACUGGUAACAUUGAUAUCGUUUAUAUGCCUGAACUUUAAUGACAAUGCAAACGUGACUUUCUUUCAGUAGUUUCAUGUUUGUUGAAGAUGGGUUUUGCUGUUUGAAGGCUUCAGUUUUUACCUGUUAGUUUUGAAAUUAUUAUAUAUAUUUUUUCAACGUUAGUUUAACAAUGUCUAUUAGACUGCUUUUGUUCCAACACACUUUCUAUUGUAUUUAGUGACAUGUUUAAUUAAUCCAAUGUGUGGGUCUGUAGCAUUUCACAGAAUACUGAAAUACCUCACAUUUUAUAUUCCUUUUACACCUUGCUUCUGUGAAAUAAAAAUGUUUUCUGGGCUUCUUAUUACUGUGUUACAUUAUAGAACUCCAAGAAGAUAUGUCAGUGUUGCAAUGCGAUCACGAUACUUAUCAAAAGUAUAAGUAACUUUUAAUUCCUUUAAGCAAACCAGACGGUGCCAUUUUGUUAUUCAUGGCUCACCAGGAGCACACUCCAACACUCGGACAUAAUUUACAAAUUGUGUGUUUAGUGAGUCCGUCAGCUCAGAGGCAGUAUGGAUGACCAGUGGGGGUUCUCUUGAUAACUGUGUGACUUGUAUAUUUUCCUGUCCUGUUAAGCAUUAAAAAUGUAACGAGUACUGGUGGGGGGGUGUAUGGAGUAAAAAGUACAUUAUUUUCUUUAGGAAUGUAGAGAAGUAAAAGUUGUUAUAAAUAGUAAGGUGCAGAUACCGCAAAAAAUGACUUAGGUACUUUACACCACUGGCAUUCACAAUGCGUGUUUUCAGCUCA
rnacentral:lncRNA from 1 species